rnacentral:rRNA from 1 species
CUACGGGGUGCUCCAGUGGGGAAUAUUGCACAAUGGAGGGAACUCUGAUGCAGCAACGCCGCGUGGAGGAUGACACAUUUCGGUGCGUAAACUCCUUUUAUAUAAGAAGAUAAUGACGGUAUUAUAUGAAUAAGCACCGGCUAACUCCGUGCCAGCAGCCGCGGUAAUACGGGGGGUGCAAGCGUUACUCGGAAUCACUGGGCGUAAAGAGCAUGUAGGCUGGUUUGUAAGUUGGAAGUGAAAUCCUAUGGCUUAACCAUAGAACUGCUUCCAAAACUACUUACCUAGAGUAUGGGAGAGGUAGAUGGAAUUUCUGGUGUAGGGGUAAAAUCCGUAGAGAUCAGAAGGAAUACCGAUUGCGAAGGCGAUCUACUGGAACAUUACUGACGCUCAGAUGCGAAAGCGUGGGGAGCAAACAGGAUUAGAUACCCCAGUAGUC